rnacentral:lncRNA from 1 species
ACAAGUCCAAUAAGCUUCCUCCACUUGGGAGUGUAGCAGCUCUACAAGUUCUUCAUUUGAAAAGAUUGAAAAAACUGGAAAGCUUGUGCAGUGGUGGUACAUUCUUUCACUUUCCUAAUCUGAAGGAGCUUACGCUGGAAGACCUGCCGGAAUUUGAUAGAUGGUGUGAAGUAAACUGGGUCCAAGGAGAACAGAUAAUGUUUCCUCAACUUGAGAAAUUGUUUAUUACAAAUUGUGGAAAGGUUACAGCAUUACCAGGGCCAGCACUUCUCGGAGGAUCGUGCUGUGGAGAUUCCAAGGAGCAAGACGAGAGGAAGCUUUGGUCGGCAUUUCCAGUCCUGAAGGUACUCAAAUUACAAUGCUUAGCAAAGUUUCAGAGGUGGGGGGGCGCUGCUGAAGCAACUCAAGGGCAGCAGAUAAUAUUUCCUCAGCUUGAAAAGUUAUCAAUCAAAAAGUGCCCCGAACUGGCAGCAUUACCAUCAGCUACAUCUCAGGGAGUAUCAUUUGACCAUAGUGAUGUUACAGCAUGGUCAGCAUUUCCAAACUUAAAGAAGCUCUUGUUAGAAGACUUAGAAAGUUUUAAGAGCUUGGGGAUGACGGAAGCAACUCAUGGUGAACAGCAGAGAUUCUCUGACCUUGAGACUCUGGGUGUUAAGAAAUGUCCGAAGUUGACAAUUCAACCGGGGGUGAUAGAAGCACCAAAGCUCGGUGUAUUAGAAAUAAAUGGCAGCCAACUGACAGCAAUAAUAGUGCCUACAGUUAUUAACUCAUUGUCCGAACUGGUGUUAUCAGUCGAAGACACAGAAACUACUUUACCAACUGUGCAUGGUGCCUUUGAGCUGGUGGACGCCAGUAAUAAAUACCCUCUGACACAUCUGGAGCUAAGCGGCUGCAACUUUCUGUUCCCCUCAAGUCCACUGGCACUAUGGGCAUGUUUUGUCCAGCUGCAAGAUUUGAAAAUUGAGAAGAUCAACCAUGCGCUUGUCUACUGGCCAGAAAAAGAGUUCCAGAGCUUGGUAUCCUUGCGGCACCUUACCAUUUGGAAGUGCAGUGGUCUGAUUGGGUACGUGAAAGCCGCUCCUAGCCAACCAAUAUCAGAAAGGAGCCAAGUUCUCCCCCGUCUCGAGUCUCUACGCAUACGGGAUUGUGAAAGUCUGGUAGAGGUCUUCAACGUCCCCGCAUCUCUCAAGACGAUGGAUUUGCACGACUGCCCUAAGCUUAAGUCCAUAUUCGGAGAGCUACAGGACGAGCCAACAUUCAAUCAAGGGCCCAGCGCUGCACCGAAGCUGUCAUCAUCGGCCUGGGAUCACUUACUUCCAUGUCUUGAAUCUCUAAAUAUACGGCAGUGCGAAAGCUUGUCAGAGGUUCUCAACCUUCCCCCAUCCCUCAGGGAAAUAGAUAUUUGGGAAUGCCCAGAGUUGAGAUCAGUCGAAUGUUGCUUGGGAGAGUUUGCAACCCUGGAACGCCUCGUUCUUAGUGAAUGCAAAAGCCUGGCAUCCUUGCCCGAUGGGCCACAAGCAUACUCAUCUCUCCGUCAUCUUCAAAUUACAUCAUGUCCAGGUAUACAAUCGCUUCCUUCAUCCCUGAAGAAGAGACUGGACAACCUCAUUGAUAAAUAUUUGGAUGCUCGUUACGAAGGUACCCAUCAAACUCAUUUGUCGUUUCACCAUCAAAUGCAUAAAUCUGCUCAUGUGUAUUUUCCUCUUCAACCUGAGACCCCGCAUUCUAUAAAUAUAUAUAUACCAGUCGCCUUAAAGCAUCCAUGCAGUAGUUUGGAUGAUAUGGUGUGAUUAUUUUUACAUUAGAGAAAGGUAUUUGCGUCUAUAGACUAUAGCUAGGUGUGAACUGUGCCCAGAAAUUAUUGACAAGGAAUAGUGGAAAGAACUCAGCAAUCACUAAAAAAACAUGAAGAGUGUCCCACAAAGUUACUUUUUCAUGCAGUUGUCAUGGUGGCUUGCUGGUUUCAGCACUUGCACAAUACGAAAUUUAAAAAAUCCAAGUGAUCCCUCCACACUUGGACAAUUAAGAACACGACUAUAGAUUGUUUUCAAUUUGCAUUGAACUGAUAUUUUUCUAUUUCCCUAAUGUUACACAUCAAAUAGAGAUGCCAAGUUGCCAAUGCAACGAAGGUUUUUACUUGUCAAUUUAAUUGAAUUUUGCUGUCUAAAGGACAAAAUGUGGAUUAAAUAAAGAGCUCUUUUACGGUGCACAAUACUACCACGUGGUAGUAUAGAUUAUAAGUACUUUUUUAGCAUGGGCAAAAUUGUAAUUAGCACGCAUAUAUUAUUUGGAGAUUUUUUUCCGCGAGCCCUUCUCCCCACGCGCCGCCAGUCCCCCACGUCCGCGCCUGGGCGCACCCGCGCCCCCGGAACCCUCGGCGGCCGAUGCUGACACUGACGACUUCCUGCCGGCUGAGGCUGCGCGUGGCGGUGACGUGCUGUUUGAGCUUCACUCCCACUCAAACCACAGUGACGGCUUCCUCUCCCCCACCGCGCUCGUCGAGCGCGCCCACCGCAAUGGGGUAAGUGGAUGAAUCCUAAAUGGCCUCUAGUCCGUUUGCCUGCUAGGUGUUUGAGGAAAUGCUUGUGACGUUUGUUCGGCGGCGUUGUACUGUGCUUUGUGGAAUUCGACUUCGAUGGCCUCAUCGUCUUUAGCUGUGGUGCUUAACCGAGCAUUGCGUUUGUUGUACCUGCCAGUGUGCCGUGUGCGUAGCUGUUCCCCGUCUUAUAGGACUGUUCCCCGUCUUAGUAUCUGGAUGAAAGUGCUGUACUGGUGACUACAGUAUCUAACAGGGAAGCAGUUUCCUUGGAUGUUUCAACUCCCCUCUGAUGAUCGGUUUGUUUAAAUUUGAAUGAAGCUGUCAUCUUCUGGCACGCAUUGGUUAGUUCAGACGGUGUAUUGCUUAGCUAAUUGCUGCUGAAAAAAAUGAUUGAGAUGCACUAGUGCCUGUUUCCCCUUGAAAUGUUUUAUGGAUUAUAUACCAUAACCUACCUCCUAAAGUUUCGGUAUGGUUGUGUGCUGUUUAAAAGUUAUAUAUUGAUGGGCACAUAUUACAAAUCUUGGAGUGUCUAAACUAUAUAUGUUUGUGGCGUAGGUGAAAGUUCUUUCCCUAACAGAUCACGACACUAUGGCUGGCAUACCAGAAGCUGUUUCAGCAGCUUCCAAGUUCGGCAUUAGAAUAAUUCCUGGAGUUGAAAUCAGUGCGCUGUAUAAUCCAAGGUAAGUGCCCUUUAGCUUUUAGAGAAGAGAGCUUUCUGUGUUUUGAAUAAAAAUCAUCAAUUGCAUGCAGCUUAAUGAAUCAAGCAUCCUAUUGUUGCGGACUCUCAUAAAUAGAUCUGCAAUAUUGUUUUAAUGCUCCAUUGCCUGUCUAAUAAAAUGAUACUGUAAACAACAUUUAAGCAGUUGUAUUAUGACUAGGGAUAUUUCAUAUGAUGAUUCAUUAUAUUAUGAAUUUCAUUUUCUAUAAGGGAAGGUGCCGGUGCUGGUGAGCCUGUUCAUAUCCUUGCAUACUAUGGUACAUGCGGUCCAUCAAGAUAUGAUGAGUUGUACAGCAUGCUAUUGAACAUCAGAGAUGGGAGAUACUUACGUGCAAAGAAUAUGCUGGCAAAGCUAAAUAGACUCAAGGUGACGAUAAAGUGGGAGCAUAUAACUAAAAUUGCUGGUGAGGGAGUGGCAACUGGUCGAUUGCAUGUAGCAAGAUCUUUGUGUUAAUAAUAGGGCCUGUGUUUUUUGCAGAGGAAGUGAACCAUUUGCUGAGACUGUUGUGCAGUCAAUUAGUCGUACUGGGGGUAUAUCUGCACUCGCUCAUCCUUGGACCUUGGUCAUUGAAGAACCCUGAUGCAGUAAUCAGGUCUUUAGGUGCUGGCCUUAAUGGUAUGGAGGUCUACAGAAGUGAUGGAAAGGUUGAUGGUAUGUGUGCUACACACUUACACUUUAUGCACUAUGACUUGAAAUAGAACAGAGGACUCCGGUAGUCCUGUCAUGCGCUAAAAUCUUCCCAGAAGAGUGCGGUGUUCCCAUCGCCCAACUGUACCCGGAUGGAAAUUUGGAAGAUUUUACGAAGGGUAUGGUCGUUGUCCACCGUAUUGGCUAGGUGCUUCCAUGGUCGUUGUUCGUCAGUCCUCUUGAACCACAACCAGCGCAAUCGGAGGGCCAGCGAUGCAAUUUUGAGGUUCUGAAUUCCUAGACCACCAAAGAGUUUAGGGCGGCAUGCAAGUGGCCAGGCCACUGCACAUUGCCCUCCAUUGGCUGCCUGCUUACCUGCCCACAGAAAACCCUUUCUAAGUUUGUCGAUUUCAUGAAAUACCCAGGCCGGUAUAUCAAGGGAGAUUAGGUUGUAGGUGCAGGUCGCGGUCAGAACUGAUUGAACCACUGUUAGUCUCCCCGCCUUGUUCAUGAGUUGAGCUUUCCAACUCGGGAUUUUGCUGGCCACCUUGUCGAUCAAGGGUUGGAAGUGGGAUUUCCUCAGUCUUCGAACCGAUAGGGGCAUGCCAAGGUACUGUAUUGGGAACUCUACCACUUGGGCAGGGAAGAUGCUACUAAUUCUCGCGAUUUGCUGAUCAUUGCAAGCAAUUGGGGCGAUGGAGCACUUCUGUAAGUUGGUGUGCAACCCAGAUGCGUUACCAAAGAAGUCGAGAAUCCCCUUGAGGGCAAUCAAAUCCUGGGCCACCGGCUUAGCAAAAAUGAUCACGUCGUCAGCAUACAAAGAGCAUUGGUGACAUAUGGCACUAUCAGCCGGGUGGGAGAGGACUCCCAGUUCCGUAGCCCUCUGAGAAGCCGGUGCAUCACUUCCAUAAUGAGGAUAAAAAGCAUUGGCGAUAGUGGAUCGCCCUGCCGCAGCCCUCUUGCGUUGCGUAUUGACCGACCUGGGGAGCCAUUUAGCAGCACUCUGGUGGUGGCAGUGGAAAUGAGCACGGAGAUCCAAUCCCUCCACUUAAUCCCAAAGCCUCUCGCUUGUAGAACUUGCAGUAGAAAAGGCCAACAGACGGUGUCAAAGGUCUUUGAGAUGUCAAGCUUGAUUAGGAGGCUGGGCUUGUGUUUCCGGUGUAGGGUUUUCGCAGCUAGCUCCACAAACUUAAAAUUAUCAUGGAUUGACCGUCGCUUCACGAACGUGCUCUGGUUAAUGUCCACAAGGUUGUGCAGCUCCUGAACAAGCCAGUUGGCAAGCAGCUUUGCAACUAGCUUCGCGAAGCUGUGCACAAGGCUGAUGGGUCUGAAAUCAGUCGGGGACACAGCGUCUUGCCGUUUCGGUAGCAGAGUGAUUAGGGAGCAAUUCAGGCGGCCAAAUUGGCGCAUGCACCGUGGUAGAGCGCGUCAAAACAUGCAAGAACAUCUCUUUUGAUCACCGGCCAGGUUGCUUUGUAGAAUUGCUCAACUUGUAGAUGAGGUCCUGCAAGUACCCUGUGGUUUGUAGUCAAACUACAGCAUUACUGCUAUUGCAAAGAUUAGGAGAUUUUAUCUCUCUUUUUCUAGGAAUUUUUUUUAAAUAAACUGCAUGAGAAGAAGUGCAAGUAAAUUCACGGAAAAUGUAAAUUCACUGACUGACCGACCAGUCUCGGUGCCUGAGGCGCUGAUGAUCCCUUGCUUCUCCAGGCGCUUCUUCCUGUCCUCCUUGAUGCGCUCCAGCAGCUCGAUGUCGUCGUCCUCCUCGAGCACAAGGGCCCGCGCGGGGCGGUCGGCAGCGAACGGGGAGAACGACGCCGCCAGGGCGGCGAGCACGCAUGACGCCAGGCCGCUCUGUCGGCCGACGACGGCGGCGGCCUCACGCCGGUCCUGGCCUCCGUUGCUGCUGACGCCUCUGAACUUGGCCCAGCAUGCUGCCGCUGGGGGAUGGUGCUGCGCUGGCAGCUCCUGCACCGCAGCCGCCGCCGCCCGUUGCAACCCUAGCGACUGAUUGUAAAUGAAGAACCAUAGCGACCAAUUGGAAAUGAGAAGAUGAAUAAAAGGAAAGGAGAUGAUAAUGAAGAAAGAUUUGAUAUAUUGUAACAAUGCUAAUUUUCAUCUUUCCAAUCAUACCCAUAUACUACCCAUACUACUCAUGCAUAUUAUUACCUAUACUUCAACUUAAAAUUCUAGUAGUAUACAAUUAAUUUGAACUGUCGGAUCCUUACAUACGAGUCCUUUUCAACAAUAGUAUAGGGUAGUAUUAUACACCACAAAAGAGCUCUAAAUAAAAGGUCCCAGGAGCCUACUGUGUGGUACCUUUCUUUUAAUGGUUUUUUUGCUAACUUCACGCCUUUGGAUGCACAAAAAUGUACUAUUUCUGUUUUUGUUUCAGAAAGAACUGGAGUUUUUCUCUUUCCAAUUCGGUAGUUGUAUAUUUUAAUAUGCAUACUCAAAUCUGCUUGACGUACACGUUUUUCAUGUUAUACUCUAGAUUUCUAUUGAUAAAUCCUAACAUCAGCGAUUACCAAGUGCCAAGUUAUUGAAACCAAAGACAUGGAAAUAUGCCAUUCAUUUGUAGAAAUCAGUGAGCUGUCAAAACAUUAAGUAAGGUUAGUAGCAUAAAAAGUUUGGGUUUUUAUUAGAAUCAUUUCAAUUAAUCUAGUAUUGAUUCCAUAUCCUGUCUAUUGUAGGGACAUGUUUGCUUCAUUUACUGUCAGCAUCCAAACCAUAAUAUGGAAAUGCUAUUUUCCUUCUAUGUUGACCAAGGUCUGAGUUACCAUACAGGCUCUGAUGCAAGUUGUUAAAGGCAGUAUAAAUUCUGUACCAGACAUUUAUUUAUAUUUGAUAAUCAUGAGAGAUAUAUUACUAUUUUAUUUUUGCAUCAAAUGGAUGUGGAGGCUGGGAUAUUAAUACUUUCUCCCAUUAAUACAGCUACAUCAUGGCAGUUAUCUCCCUGUGAUUGGAAGAGAGUUCUGCAUUUUGCAUAUCAACUGCAACUAUAUGAUGUUUAUAACUGAGCCUGGAGAGAUAUUAUGCCAUUUCUGUGACCAUUCUCUUCUAUUAUGUCCAUUUCACAUAUUCAAAACAAAAUUUUCCCUUAAUUGACUAUUGUAUUGAAUUGAUAUUUUCCUUUUUUUAGAUAAUACUGAUAUUUUUAACUUGCUUUACUUUCCCUUAACAUGAUUGGAAGUUUAAGACCAUGCCUAAAUUUCAAAUGUGCCUUCCUUUUAGUGCAUUACUUCUUUGGUGACCAAUUAAUGUUUUGACUAGCUGCUACUGAUCAAUUAUUCAUACCUGCCAAAGGACCAAUAACUUCGUGGUGCAGCCAAUUAAAUUGUUACUGAUUUCAUGCUAUCAACAUGGAAAAAGAUACAGUUUGACACCCAGCCACAAUCAAACAAUAACUUAGUAGUUUGAAAUGGUUAUCGCAAUUUGCGAUGCUUUGUGCAGAGAAGAUGACUCUUUGAGGUUAAAGAAGAUUCUACAAAUACCCAGCAAGCUUCAGGAAUGAAUUAUUUCAAGCUGGUGGCAUAAUAGUGCACACGGCGGAUGCAGCAACAGAGGACAACUCUGCUCCCCGGCCCCAGGCGCGCCGCCGAAAUGCCUCGGCACCGCCGCCUCCGACACGGCAAGGGCAGCGGGCGCCACAAGCUGAUGAACCUGCACAGGCAAAAGCCAGAACUGAGGCGUUUGGCUUUGCCGAGAUGGCCACACCCAUGUCUGAACGGGCAAAGGCCCGCCCUCCGGCGGAGCCCGUAGAGCAGGGCGGCCCCGACGACCAAGACGGCCAGACCGCAGGAGGGAGGGCUCGCGGCGUGUUCUCGCCGCAGGACAUCCAGGCGGACGGAGGAGGAUCUUGCGAUGUGUCGGCGACGGGCGCUGAGGAGCAGGCGGGGUCUCAUGGCGCUGUGGGCAACGGGAGGCCGAGGAAGCUGGAAGGAGGGGACAGGGAGAAUGAUGCUGAAGCUGGUGUGGUGCGAGCUGACGAACAAGCGCGGAUUCUGGACCAUGUCUUCUCCAAAGGACGUCAACACCAGGUACAACAGCAACCUCACCUUUGUUCUUCCUCUUCCUGUAAAGGGUCGUGCACACAAGGUGUUCGGUCUUUUGUCGUUGCAAGUUUUGCAAAGGAAAAAGGGGACAGGGGCAUAUCUACUAAUCAAAGUAGACGGCGUUUAACGCUAGCACCACGAUUAGCACCCGCAGAGCAACUUUGCAGCACGAAGAAGGUACAGUCAGUAUUGACCAGGGAAAAUUUUGAAGAUUCAGAAGUUCUAAGGGAAAGAGGAGGAAUGGAAAAGGAGGAACAGAGUGAGAGAGAGAAGAAGCAAUUCAAAAAAUCGCAGGAUCCUUUGCAAGGUCUCCGAAGGAACGAGACUGGCUCUCGAUUCUGGGCCUUAGCAAAUGAGGACAGUUCUGACGAGGAGGAGGAAAGGGAGGAAGAAAGUGAUAAGAUGAAAAUGGAAAGUAUAGUGGCUGAGGAGAGAAGCUGUUCUUCCCUAGAGGAAAGAACAGAACUCUCUAGCAGUGGAUCUAGAGAAAAGGGAAUAAAAUUAGUUAAGAAGCAGGAAAGCAAAGAUAGAACAAAGGGCAAAGACAAAAAACCUGGACAUAUGAUCAAACCAUGGAAAGGCCCUUUACCUCAGAGAAAUUACCCUUUGAAAAUGUCACUAGGUGACAUCAGGGUAAAAGAUCUGCGUGAGGUGGCCCAUCCAUUGGAUAAGAGAAGUCUAGAUAUUUUUUUGGAGGAAGAAUCAAAAGUUAUGUAUGAGGAUAACUACAUAGGGGAGGCUGAUUCAGUGAAGUUAAGGAUGAACACAUUGGAGAAGAAGUGCUCAUCAAAGAAGACGAAGUUUGAAUUCAAAUUUCAAAAAGUUCCAAAGAUUAACUCAGGGAAAUCAAUAACCUGGGUGGGUAAAACUGGUUUCAUUCAUGUGGGACCACGUGCAGUUUUCCAAUAUACAAAUGGUUUAAGUCAGCUUCUUAAUAAUGGAGGGAAGCUCAAAAGGCAAGACAUUAAAUGUCUGCCCAAGAAUCAAGGUGGUGUUUGGGCUGCCUGGGGUAAAGGGGCGCCAGCCUCUGUGAUUAAUAGCAACUCAUCUGUGCAACAAGCACCCUUUGACAUUCUAACCACAGCUGUCGAGUGUCACAGAGAGAGAACAGAUUGUCAGGAGGAAGAGGAAGAAGGAAGAAUGUUGAGGAGAGGGUUUGGCACAAGAGGAAUAUCUGGAGCUAGGGGAGCACAUGACGGUCGGUUUAACCAGGACCGACUAGAAAUGGGAGCACAAAGAGAAGAUUCAGGAGGCGUCUGGCACUUUGGAGGAAAUCAGAGAAGACAGAUGGAAGCCAGAGCAGGUGGCAGGGAAGGGGCAGGAGAUGGGUAUGGAAGAAGAUUUAUAUCAAGAGAUGGGUCAGGCAAUGAGAGGAAUAGGGAAGGGCAACAACAAGGUUUUGGGAGCUAGAGAGGUCUACAGGGGCCAGGAGGAUCAAGGGUGGAUGUGAGGGUGGAGUCCCUGAGAGGCAGAGGGGGAUGGCGUAGGUGGCAGGAGCGUACACAAAGAGCAGAAGUGGUGAAGGAAGAGGAUAAAGGAAAGAAGGUGAUAACACGUGAUGGUGAACAGAAAGAAGGAUCGAGGGGGAAAGCUGGGAUGGAUUUCCAGAUGACAGUAGAUGGACUUGGAGAAGAAGAGAAAGGAGAUGACACCAAGUCAGGGAUCAAGUGCUCAAAAUGUGCAAAGAAAGGACAUGUGGCUGCCACGUGCACUAAUCCAGUUUACUGUGUUAUCUGUAACGGUGAUGACCACGUCAAUCACAAAUGUUUGCUGCUAAAGCAGUCUAGGCCAGUGGCACACGCGGUGGGAUACGCUGUCUAUGGGCUUGGUUUCUACCACAUUCCACAUCCACCGCUGUCUAGGAGUAAAAAAGAAUCCAAGAAGGCCCUAAUUAGGGUGGGAGGAGGGAAACUAACCAAGGAGAAGGUGGUUUCACAACUGCAAAGGUUGUACCCAGGAAAGUGGAAUUGGGAACUGGAAGACAAUGAAGAUAACACCUUCAUCACUACAUUUCCCUCAAAAUCUGAACUUCAAAGGGCAAUAGCUUUUGGAGGGGCUAAUGUUAGAGAAGAUGGAGUUCAGAUAGGUGUGAGGUUACAAUUUGAAACUUGGCAAGAGAAAGAAGAGGGAUUCCUUUUACCUAAAGUUUGGGUAAGAGUACAUGGGCUGAGAAAAUCUCUAAGGGAGUAUAUGAAUUUGUGGGCAAUAGGUUCAUUGUUGGGAUCUACCCAAACUGUGGAUAUGGAGAUGACUAGAAAAAAUGAAUUUGGAAGAAUAUGUGUGGCAGCCCUUAACCCCUUGCUUAUCCCCUCACAUUUAGAUGUGGUGAUAGGGGAUCACUACUUUGAACUAGAAUUUGAGGUGGAAAGGAAAGGGACUGAUGAGAAUGGAGAGGAAGCAAAUUUUGAUUGGAAGGGAGAUGCAGAAGGAGAGGAUGAGGGAGAGGGCAGUGAGGAUGGCUUAUUGCAGGAUGACCCAGAUAUGAUCAGGGAAAUAAAAAGAAGGAAAAAUGAUAGUGAGGUCAAGGAGAAGGAAGAUAGCAGUACAAAAUAUAGGCAGGAGGAGCAGGGAUGGACAGAUAAAGAAUCAUGGAAAGAUAAAGUUCAGAAGAUGAGUGAAAUGGAGUUUAAUCUGUUUCUUAAGGAAAAGGCAGAAGAAAUAAUGGAUAGAGCAGUGGACAAAACUUUGGAGGUUUUGAUAGAUCAGGUUAUGACUGACCAGAAUGAAAAUAAUGAGGGGGAGAGCAGCUGGGAGGAGGAAGAGGGAACAGAUGAACUGAAGAAGAGGGCUGCAAUUCCUGAGACAGUAAUGACGCCAACAAGGGUUAGUCCAAGGUUGGCUAACUCAGGAGAUGAGCAUAUUCUUGCUAAGACAGAGAAGAUGGCUGCUAGGAAAAAUCUGGAGCUCAAAGAAGGUAAUUAUGAAACUGAAGUCUCCUUUCAUUUUCCUUUAGAUAAUGUUAUCUGUAAUGUUAGUCAACUAGGGGUUAGGUUGGGAGAGAGUGAAAAAGAGAAGGAAAGGGUAGUACAAGAAAUUCUCACAGUACAAAAGAGAGACAUAGAUCUGCCUGUAGAGGUAGAUAAUCAAGAUGAGAGUAAUCUGUACAGUGACAUGGAGGAGGAGAGGGAAGAAAUAGAAAGUAGUCAAAUUCAGAACCUUUGUGGGGAACUUUUGGAAGAGGUUUUUGACGAUGAUUUUAGUUACAUGGAUUUUUACUCUAAGAUGGGUAAUCACAAGUCUUGUGCUAAGUCACGAAAGAGAAAGACUUGUAAGGUCAGGCUACCCAAAGUCAAUAUCGAUAUGGUUUCCAAAUGAGAGGAAUCUUCUGGAACAGCAGAGGUCUUAGUGACUUGGCUAAAAAAAGAUUCCUUUUAGAAACAUCUAAAGAACAGAACUUAGCUUUCAUUGCUCUACUAGAAACAGGAAAAAGAGACUUUACCUAAGCCACUCUAAGUAAUUUGUGUGGGGGAAAAACUUUAUCUGGCAUUGGACUGAACCACAUGGAAGAUCAGGGGGUAUCCUCCUAGGUGUGGAUCUAGAUGAGUUAGACAUUGGUAGUAUUGAUGAAGGAGACUUUUAUGUGAAGUUCAAAGUAAGGACAAGAAAAGAUAAUUUCCAGUUUGUGUUGGUGGCUGUUUAUGGAGCAGCACAACCAGCUUUUAAAGAAGCUUUCUUGACCGAAAUGGUGCAGGCCUAUAGAAAAGAGAACCUUCCUAUUGUCCUUGGGGGAGAUUUUAACAUCAUAAGAAACCCAAGUGAAAAGAACAAUGAAAGGUACGAAGACAAAUGGCCCUUUCUUUUUAACGCUAUCAUAGAUAGCUUAAAUUCAAAGGAGAUACAUAUGUCAGGAAGAAAGUACACUUGGGCUAGUUCCUUAAAAAAUCCAACAUAUGAGAAAUUGGAUAGGGUGUUGGUUAGUACAGAGUGGGAAGAGAAAUUUCCUUUAGCUACGGUUGAUGCAUUGAGCAGGGAAAUCUCAGAUCAUACACCCUUAUUGCUUAGUACUGGACAGGAAGGGGUGAGAAGGAACCAACACAUGUUUAAGUUUGAACUGAGCUGGCUUUUGAGGAAAGAUUUCCUUGAGAUAGUAGCUGAUGUGUGGAGUAAGGAAAGAAAAGGUUCCAAUCCUAUACAGAAAUGGCAAAAUAAGAUUAGGAGGUUAAGGCAAUUUCUGAGAGGAUGGGCUAAAAACCUAAACGGGAAGUAUAAAAAAGAAAAACAGGAGCUACUUAAAAGGGCAAAUGAGCUAGAUAAAAAGGCUGAAUCACAGCUGCUAAGUCAGCAAGAAAGUGAUUUAAAGAAUUGCAUUCAAGAUACACUAGUUCAGCUCCUGAGAGAAGAAGAAAUAAGAUGGUAUCAAAGGGCAAAAAGCAAUAAGCUACUGAAUGGAGAUAACAACACAAAAUAUUUUCAUAUGGUAGCCAAUGGCAAACACAGGAAAACAAGAAUCUUUAGACUGGAACAGGAUGAGGGCAUUAUAGAAGGGGAUGAUAAUCUUAAAAAUUACAUAACUAAAUAUUAUAAAGAACUAUUUGGAUCUCAAUCAAGGAACAUUUGUUCUAUGAACGAAUCCUUGACAGAGGAUAUCCCUCAAGUAUCAAGAGAAGAAAAUGAAAUCUUGACUGAAAAAUUCACAGAAAAGGAGGUCAGAGAAGCUAUCUUUCAAAUGAAGCAUAACAAAGCUCCGGAAUCCGAUGGAUUCCCAGUGGAGUUUUACCAAGUAUUCUGGAGUCUCAUUAAAGAUGAUCUAAUGGCCAUGUUUGAAGACUUCCACAAAGGUAAUCUACCACUAUAUUGUUUAAACUUUGGGAUAAUAACUCUAAUCCCAAAACUCCAGGAAGUGAAAAUGAUCCAACAGUAUAGACCAAUAUGUAUGUUAAAUGUCAGUUUCAAAAUCUUCACAAAAGUGAUGGCCAAUAGGUUUUCUCUGGUGGCUGAAAAAGUCAUCAGGCCAUCACAGACUGCUUUUAUGCCUGGGAGGUACAUAAUGGAAGGGGUAGUAGUACUUCAUGAAACUAUACAUAAGUUAAGCAGGAAAAAGCAAGAUGGAAUCAUUCUCAAAUUGGACUUUGAGAAAGCCUAUGAUAAGGUUAAUUGGUCUUUUCUUCAACAGGCAUUAAGAAUGAAAGGCUUCUCCUCAAAAUGGUGUGAGUGGAUAGAAAGUAUAGUCAGUAAGGGAAGUGUGGGGGUAAAGGUAAAUGAUGAUAUUGGACAUUUCUUCCAGACAAAAAAAGGUCUUAGACAGGGUGAUCCCUUAUCGCCAAUGCUAUUUAAUAUAGCAGCAGACAUGUUGGCUGUUCUUAUUGCUAGAGCAAAACAUAGCAACCAAAUAAAGGGCCUAGUGCCACAUCUCGUAGAUGAAGGAUUAUCUAUCCUCCAGUACGCAGAUGACACAAUAAUCUUCAUGGAAAAUGAUUUAGAGCAGGCAAGAAACUUGAAAUUGGUGCUAAGUACCUUUGAAAAACUUUCAGGCCUCAAAAUCAAUUUCCAUAAGAGUGAAUUGUAUUGUUUUGGGGAGGCAAAAAACCAAGUUAAGGUUUAUGUAGAGAUAUUUGGGUGCAAGGAAGGAACACUACCAUUUAGAUAUCUUGGAAUUCCAAUGAUGCAUCGCAGAAUUGCAAAAAAGGAUUGGAAAAUGACUGAAGAAAGGUUCCAGAAAAAAUUAGCAAGCUGGAAGGGCAAAUUAAUGUCAGUGGGAGGCAGGUUAGUACUGAUAAAUUCUGUCCUCUCAAGUUUACCAAUAUUUAUGAUGUCCUUUUUUAGAAUACCUAAAGGUGUUCUUAAAAGAUUGGAUUAUUAUAGAUCUAGAUUCUUCUGGCAAAGUGAUGAACACAAAAAGAAAUUUAGGUUGACCAAAUGGAGUAUCCUUUGUGCACCUAAGAAUGUAGGAGGUUUGGGUAUCUCCAAUGUGGAGGUUCUAAAUAGGUGCUUGCUAAGCAAGUGGUUUUUUAAACUUCUAAAUGAGGAGGGAGUAUGGCAAACUUUGCUUAGAAAGAAAUAUUUGGUGAACAAGACUCUAACUCAAGUGACAAGGAAAAGGGGAGAUUCACACUUCUGGGCGGGCCUCAUGGAAAUAAAGGAUCAGUUCCUAUCAAUGGGAACAUUUGAGGUGCACAAUGGAGAAAAAACUAGGUUCUGGGAAGACGUUUGGAUGGGAAAGACAACUUUGAGGGAAAGAUAUGCAUCCCUGUAUAAUAUAGUGAGAAGGAAAGAUGACACCGUAGCCAAAGUACGUGGAUCUGCCCCUCUAAAUGUUUCUUUCAGAAGAGCAUUAACAGGGCACAGAUUGGAAGAAUGGCUAAAAUUAGUGGCUGAUAUUAUAAGUCAUGCUACAGACAGGCAGGAAGACAGAUUUAUUUGGAAUAUGAAUAAAAACAAAGUUUUCUCAGUGAAGUCAAUGUACAGAGAAAUAAUGCAAGCUGAAAGAACACCAUCCAUGUGUGUUGCUUGGAAGUUAAAACUUCCAUUAAAAAUAAAGAUCUUUUUAUGGUAUUUAAAGAAAGGGGUGAUUUUAACAAAGGACAACCUCACUAAAAGGAGAUGGCAGGGAAGUACCAAUUGUUGCUUCUGCAGAUCAAAAGAGACAGUGCAACAUCUCUUCUUUGAUUGUAAUCUUGCCAGAUUCAUAUGGAGUACGGUUUUCUUUUCGUUUGGAAUUCAACCACCGACGAGUGUUCCUUAUGCUGGGAUCUUGGGCUAGAGGGUUUCCUCGGAAGAUUAGAAACCAGAUGAUUAUAGGAGCUGGUGCUCUUUGUUGGGCCAUGUGGUUGAACAGAAACGAUGUACUGUUCAAAGGCACGAUCACUAAUUCCUUCUUGCAGGUAAUCUUCAGAGGGACCUAUUGGACAAGAACAUGGGCGGUGCUAUCAAUGGAGGAAGAGAAAAAUGAAAUGAAGAACAACUGUAGCAGGCUCGAAGGCACUGCCUUGGAAUUCUUCUCCAAUAAGUAUGGCUGGAACUUCAGACGAAGAAUACUUCAGUAACAGGAUUUCAUCUAGGCACCGGAGAAGAUCUUAGAGUCCUAUCUAGUGCUUAGGAGUCGUGUUAGUGUUCCUGUCUUUGGAGUGAACUGUGAGUCUUCAAGGGUAGUACUGCUAGAACAGCCUAAGUGUUGAGUUUCUGUAUUUGUGGUGUUAGUUUGGCUGCAGGCAUCCACUCGUGGAUGACCGAGGCCGGAUUCUUUCCUUUAUCUAAAAAAAAAAGAACUGAGGCGUUCAUUGCGUCGGUCCGACUGGCACUACAAGCUCCCCUUGCUGCGGGGCCCCCUAAGCCCACCGCUCCUCCUCCGGCACAGACGCCAAGACGGAGUACAAGGCUGGCAACUAACGCGCUAAACUCUGCGAUCCGUCCAUCCAAGAAGGGGGAACUUCUGACCAUGAAAAAACUCGGCAUCUUAACCCAAGAGCACCAAACUACCUCAGCAGCUGACAAAGAUUUCAACAAAUUCUUGACCACGACAAUGAAGCCGUGCCAUUUUGCGGCAUUCAGGGACAUCUUCCCGGCGGCCAAUAACCUCUCGAUUGGGAAAUGAAGUUCCCUUUUGCCUUCCUUCAGACGCUCUCCUCUGAUAUUUCAGACCAUUGCCCCCUACUGCUAACCACCAACUCAAACUUUUCGGUCAAAAGACGCUUCCAUUUUUAGAUUUGGUGGCUCAAGUUGCCUGGCUACUUGGAAACUGUCGCACAGGGUUGGGUGUGCCCAUCGCACAUCUCUGAUCCUUUCACAAAACUUGACAUGAAGCUUAAAAACACUGCUAGAAAGCUUCAGAGCUGGAGGGGAAUGCAAACACAAGACUUUUCCAUUUGCAAUGUGGCCACAGGGCCAAAAAGAAAUUUAUUGCAAGGCUUGAGCAUGAGGGAGGUGUGGCAAUCUCACAUGAGGAAAAAGAGCAGGUUUUGUUCAGCCACUUGUCUGCUAUUUUGGGCACUGCUAUGCAAAGAGUUGAGAUAGUGAAUUUAUCUGUGUUGGGUUUCACGGCGAGAAACUAAAGCCACCUGGAGGUUCCUUUCAUCGAAGAGGAAAUUUGGAAUGCAAUCUGGAAUCUUCCAAAUGAAAAAGUGCCCGGCCCAGAUGGCUUCAUCGCUGAGUUCUAUAAGACAGCCUGGUCAAUCAUCAAAACUGAUGUGCUGGCGGCCUUUGAUGCAUUCUAUAGGAACAUAGUGGCACAACUGCAUAAACUCAAUGGAGCCUUGAUCACCUUAUUGCCCAAGAGGCAGGAUGCCAAAAUACGAGGAGAUUAUAGACCAAUCAGUCUCAUCCACAGUUUCGGGAAGCUCCUGGCAAAGCUGUUAUCAAACAGAUUAGCACCUGAACUCAGCGCUUUGAUAGAUGUCAACCAGAGUGCUUUCAUUAAGCAGAGAUCUAUCCAUGACAAUUUUAAAUUCGUUGAAUAGGCUGCUAGAACCUUACAUAGGAAAAAGAAGCCUACACUACUGAUCAAACUUGAUAUCUCCAAAGCCUUUGACAGUGUCUGCUGGCCUUUCCUGUUGCAGCUGUUGCAAGCCAUGGGGUUUGGUUUAAAGUGGAGAAAUUGGAUGGCAACCCUGGUUUCCUCAGGUACAACAAGAAUAUUGCUCAAUGGUUCUCCAGGGCCGGUGAUUCAUAAUGCAAGAGGCUUAAGACAAGGGGAUCCCUUGUCCCCAAUGCUCUUCAUUCUCACAAUUGAGGUGCUCCACAGGCUCCUGAGGAAAGCAGUGCAGAAUGGUGUCCUCAAACCUCCGACUGAUUCUGCAAUACAUCAUCAGUGCUCCAUUUAUGCGGAUGAUGUAGUGUUGUUUGCUGCCCCUGAGGUUCAGGACAUCACAACCAUAAGAGAAACUCUUAAUUUCUUCGGCAGCACAUCAGGUUUACACACCAACCUGCACAAGAGCUUAAUAGCUCCCAUAGCUUGCAAUGCUGAGCAAGUUCAGAACAUCCAGGGCAUCUUGCCAGCUCAGAUCGCUGUGUUCCCCAUCCAAUACUUAGGAUUGCCCCUAUCAGUUACCAGGCUCAAGAAGUCGCACUUUCAGUCCUUAAUUGACAAAGUUGCAGCAAGUAUUCCGACAUGGAAGGCUCCGUUGAUGAACAAAGCAGGCAGGCUCACCACUGUAAAAGCAGUUAUGAGUGGAACUGUUGGAAUAAAGUGGCUAAAAAACAUUCCAGAUUUUAUUUGGAGGAAAAACACAUAGAUGAAAAUUAACGCAAGCAUACAACACAUGUAAACAGUCAGCAUAUUGACUAGAACAAGGUGUUGCAGGGACAUUACUCAAUAAUUCCGCAUAGAACGUAGUCGAACGUGUUGUAGGUGUUGCAGAGUCACCAAGCGGUCGCGUGUAGAUGCUGCCCAAAAACCUAAUUGUCGCCCCGUGCAGGAGUCUCGCGGCAGUGGUUUCGGAGAUCCCGUGCAGGACGUCUCCUGGUGUUAUAGACUCAAUACAACAUAAGUUUCCCCCAUCAAACAGCCUCAUAAAUUAGUAGUCACAAGUCACAAGUCACGCGAUUUUUCACGCAAAAAUGUGCGUGCGUGUAGCAACAGGCUCCUCUCUCUCUCACUUGCACCUUUUUUGCAUAAAGAGAAGACCCCCAUAUUUAAGCAAAGUAACCUCUCCUUGAAUUAACAAUAUGGGACUAAAGGUUGUGCAUGCUUUGGAAUUUUCAGAUUAGGCCAUGUAUGGGCCAAAAUCCAACAGGAACAUCAAAGGAGAGUAUUCAGCGAAAUCGGCAUAUCGUUUCUUCUUCAGAACUGCCGUCAGAUGCAGUCAGAUUCGCUGCAGCUAAGCUGAUUUGGAAAGUAUGGGUUCCUCUCAAAAUUAAGUUCUUCAUGUGGUUGGCUAUCAAGAACAGGUUGUGGACGGCAGCGAGGAGGCAAAAACGUGGACUGCAAGACCAGGCUGAUUGUGUGCUUUGUGAUCAAGAGUUAGAGACGGCAAAUCACCUGCUAUCCAGAUGCUCCUACACUCUCCAGGUGUGGCAACAUAUCAGCGCUUCAAUGAACUUGCUGAAUAUUGCUCCAACACAAAAUCAGUCCCUCCUUGACUGGUGGCUGCAAAAAAGGGAAGGAUUCAAUGCCUGCAACCGAGCGUUCGGCCGCUCGCAGGCAGAGUGUGGAGCGCCUAGUCUAGGAGAUCACAACUGAAGGGGACCUCUAGUGCGCGGCAGGCGCCAAACACCUGGCAGCACUUGGCUGGCCAGGGACAGCAGGGUUGCCUAUCUCAUAGAGGAUCUACUCUUCUCUAUCCAUUCGUUGUAAGAGUUUCAUGUAAUAGCUGUUAAUGUAAGCUUAAACCGUAUGCGUGCACCCGGCAGGCCAUGUUGUAUGUCUUUUUUCUGCUUAAUACAAAGAUUCGCAGCUCUCCUGCGUGUUCACGAAAAAAAUGAAUACAUACUUGUAUGAGCAUUGCAUUGUAAAAUGUACCAAAGUGCAGUCACUGCCUUCUUCUCACAAACAAACAAUACUCGAUAAACACAUAAAGUCAUUCGCUCAUGAUGCUGUUCAACAAAAAACAAAGCUUUGAACACAUUCAUACAAGGUAAAGUCGAACAAACCAAACCACUUAGAAAACAUGAUAAAAUCCAGAAUUGGACCGAACUAAUUGCUGACAUGACUUGAUAGUAGAUGACAUAAAUAUGGAUGAGGAUGUGUUGACACUUUUUUGAGCCAACACACGAACGCACACGAUCGUGCGGUGCACGGAGGGGCUCGCGGCAGCACCUCGACGCAGGCCGGUCUAACCGGUUAUAGGGAUUGGUCUGACCGGUUGUUGGGUAGGUCGACGGUAGACCUUCGAACGUUCACCCGGGAAGGAUCCCGUCGGGGGCAGGCGCAUACAGGGUUGCUCUAGGAUCGGCAGGCCACCUAGAGCGCCUUCAAACCUCGUCGAGACGAAGGAAGAACAGCAAGUGGUAGAUUGGAAAAGCUAGGGCAAAAGAAUAAAGGAAAAAAAAUGAUAAAUAAUAGAUUGGUUUAUGUCGACUAGGUUGGAUGUCCUCAACCGGUCGAAUCCCUUUAUAUUUAUAGGGAGGGAAGGUCUUCCCCACGUAGAAGUCGAAAUCCUAAUACAAAUCGUGCCAAAUUACAACUCCUACUCGGAUUACAUAGAGCCAGACUGGUCAGACCGGCCUGGGCAACCGGUCUGACUGGUCUGCUCGGGUGCAGAUUUUGCCAAGAUCGUAUCUCCCUCAUCCGAACUCCAAAUCGGACGUUUUAUAUAUGAAUCUUGAUCUACUCGACAAGAUCUACACAAUGGUAGAGUCCAAUCUUCAUUUGGAGUACUUUGAUCCAACCAGUCUGACUGAUGGGUCAACCGGUCUGACUUGUCUGCACAGGGUGCUGAUUUUUUCGAGGGCAUAACUCUCUCAUCCGAAGUCCAAAUCGGACGUUCCAUAUAUGCAUUUUGAUCGUCUCGAUGACAGCUACACCAUGGUGAAGUAAAAUUUGCAUUUUGAGAACAUUCACCAAACCGGUCUGACCGGUUGGAAGACCGGUCUGAACAGGCCUGACCAGAUUUUCCAAGUCCUACCACUUUUGGGCUCCAACAGGAUGUGUCUACAGUAAUUUAAUAAUACUAACAACUAGAAUCAAAGGAUACAUAUCAACUGCAAAAUCAUAAGCAAGGCACACUCUAUGUUUCCAUUUGGGCUUAUUCUAUAGCAAAUCUAUGUAAACUACUUAAGUAUUCACAGCAGGCUGAGUAGCAGGGUCCAGCUUUCUCUGCUCCUAAAUUUUCCUGAGCUUAAUACCCUUACCCUUGGGGAGACUCACCCAUGGUUUGUUCCCCUUGCCAAUUGUGAGCACAUUGCCCAAAUAGGUGGCAAAGGCAUGUGUUAGAAUGUGUGUAAUUGGGCCCAGCCCGGCUAGGCCCAUGCGCAUGGCUCCCCCUGACAGGCGCUUGUUGCGCCAGAUCAGGAGCCAGCCACCAGGGCUUUCUUGUCCCUUGCCUAUAUAUGUGUACGCUAUGCACCUCCAUAAUCAAUCUACAAUUUCCUAGCCAUAUUUGCUUUCAUGGUAUCACGAGUCCGGGUUCCUACCCCGAUUUAGCUUCCGCUUUUCUAGCACAUGCCGUCACUAUGGCUGGCUCCACGUACCCUGUCGCUGAUCCAGUCGCUACAUCGCCCACGGCAGAGGAGCAACACCUCGCCGAGGAGGCCUAGCGGCAGGCUGCCCGCACUGCCACCCUCGCCCACGCUGUCCAGGCUGGGCAGCUGGCGGCUACCGCGGCUCAGGAACGCGACGCCGCUGAUGCCCACCUCCGCGACGCCCUGGCCCUUGCUGUCGAGGAGCGCGCUGCCGCUAAGGCCGCUGAUCCACCACCCAGCAUUCACCCUGACAACGAUGACGAUGACCACAAGAAUCAUGUCGUCCCCUUUGUCCACGACGCCAUGCUGCUCCACGAGGUCGCCGCCGUCCUGAACCUGCACGCCCAGCCUGUUGCACUUUAGAACAUCUGCAGCCUCAUCCCGAUCAUCCUCGACGUCGCCUCCACCAACUACGCCCGCUGGCGCGAGCAAUUUCUGCUCACCGUCGAGAAGUUCUCCCUCGACGCCCACGUGCUUCAGGACAGUCCUCUCCCCGGUCACCCUGACUAGGCGCGGAUGGAUUGCGUCGUUCGGUCUUGGAUCUACGGCACCCUCUCCAACGACCUCACCGACACCGUGAUGACGCCUGGCGCCACUACCCGCUCCGUCUAGCUUGCCGUCGAGUCUCAGUUCCUCGGCAACCACGACACACGCGCCCUCCUCCUUGAUGCCCAGUUUUGCACCUUCGUCUAGGGUGAUCUAUCCAUCACUGACUACUGCCGCCGUCUGAAGGCCAUGGCUGAUGCCGGCGAGCUCGGUGAGCCUGUCACUUACCGAUCCCUCAUCCUCAACGUCAUCCGCGGCCUCAACUCCAAGUACGCCACCAUCGGUCUUCACCUUCGUCGUGCUCGCCCGUUCUCAAUGUUCCUGGAGGCUCGGAAUGAUCUGCUGCUCGAGGAACUCACCUUCACGUAGCCGUCCUCGGAGCCCUCCACCGCUCUUCUCGCUGCUACCCCGAGCGCCUCCACAUCAGCCCGGCCGCCCCAGGCCUCGCAGUAGCCCCAUUCUGGGGGUGGCUCCUCCAAGACUCGUCACAACAAACGUAACUCCGGUAGCUGCAACUCCAAGGGUGGCAACUCCGGCAGCGGUAGUAACAGCGUCGGUGUCAGCCAACGCCCCUCCAGCGGCACCAAGCAGGGCGCCCCCCAGGGCCCCUCCAACGUCACUCCCUAGCUCUCCUUCCAGAACCCGUGGACUGGGGCCAUCCAGAUGUGGCCCGGUACAUGCGCUCCGCAGCCCGGGGCACCCCACGCCAUGCUGGCCCAGUUCUCCAUGCCACGCUAGCCCAGCAGGCGCAGCUCCAGGCACUCCAGGUAGCCCAGUUCCAGGCUGCCCAGCUGUAGGCUGCCCAAUUGCAGGCGGCCCAGGCGCAGGCUCAGGCAUACUAGGCCGCCUAGGCAUAGGCUCUACAGCAGGUGCCGUACCAGCUCUCCAUCGCCGGCACCGCCACCAGCACACCAUCGUGGGAUUAGCAAUCCCUCGCCUCCACCUUCAACACUAUGACGCUAAACCAGCCGCAGCAGCACAAGUGGUACUUCGAUUCAGGUGCUACCUCCCACAUGACCUCCGAUGCUCAUUCCUUCUCGCAUAAUUUCACCCAGCGGUACCCUUUUCCAUCAGCUAUUGUUGUCGGUGACAGUUCUUUACUUCUUGUCACCUCCACUAGCGCAGAUGUUCAUCCGGGUCCUUAACAUCUUAAUAAUGUUCUUGUUUUACCCAACCUUAUUAAGAAUCUUAUUUCCAUUCGCCAAUUUACCAUCGAUAACAAUUGCUCAGUUGAAUUUGAUUUGUCUGGUUGUUCUGUGAAGGAUCUUCGAUCCAGGAAUGUGAUUGUCAGGUGCAAUAGUUCGGGUCCGCUAUACCCCCUGCACCUCCCUGCUGCUGCUACUCUUACUGCUGGCGUCACCUCCACGGUCUGGCACCAUCGUCUCGGCCAUCCUAGGCAGGAAGCCCUCGCCCGUCUUGCGCUAAUUUUACCUUCAUGUAAUAAAGACAUUAGCUCAUCUCUCUGCCAUGCAUGUCAGCUCGAACUACACACUCGUCUUCCCUUUCGAGUGUCCUCCUCUUGAGCUUCCAGGAAUUUUGAUCUUAUUCAUUGUGAUCUCUGGACAUCACCUAUUCCUAGCAUCUCAGGUUUUAAAUAUUAUUUAAUUGUUCUCAAUGCUUGCUCUCACUUUUCUAGAACUUUUCCUCUAAGGCUGAAAUCUGACACAUUUGAUACUCUUGCUAAUUUCUUUUCCUACGUGCUUACACAGUUCGGCGCCACCAUUAAGGUCGUCCAGUGCGAGAACGGUCAUGAGUUUGACAACUCUAGCGCUCGCACGUUCUUCCUCUCCCGUGGCGUCCACUUCUGGUGGUAUGCUCUGAUGCUGAUUGGGCGGGCUAUCCUGACACACGCAAAUCCACUUCCGGUUAUGUGGUCUUCCUCGGCGACAACCUGAUCUCUUGGUCCUCAAAGCGUCAGCCCACCGUCUCGCCAAAGCUGAGUACCGUGUUGUGGCCAAUGCCGUCGCCGAAGCUACCUGGCUAUGCCAGCUACUUCAAGAGCUCCAUGCCCCCACUUCACCGCACCUCCUUGGUCUAUUGCGACAACAUCAACGCGGUCUACAUGUCCUCCAAUCUGGUUCAGCAUCAGCACACCAAACAUAUCGAGAUCGAUCUUCACUUCAUUCAGGAGCGCGUCGCUGUGGGUGACGUUCGUGUACUACAUGUUCCCACAUCGUCCUAAUACGCCGAUGUCUUCACCAAGGGGUUGUCGUCUUCUAUUUUUACAGAAUUUAGGUCCAGUCUAAACAUUCGUGGCACCAGCGAUUAGACUGCAGGGGCGUGUUAGAAUGUGUGUAAUUGGACCCUAGCCCGGCUAGGCCCAUGCGCAUGGCUCCCCCUGAUAGGCGCCUAUUGUGCCAGAUCAAGAGCUAGCCGCCAGGGUUUUCUCGUAGAAUAGGUAAGGCUCCUAACCCUAGGACCCUUGUCUAUAUAUGUGUACGUGCUAUGCACCUCCGUAAUCAAUCUAUAAUUUCCUAGUCAUAUUUGCUUUCAGCAAGACCAAGGCAUCCUCCACAUGGAGGAUCUCAUAAUUGCCCUUGUGCUUCUCCCUAUUCUUUUAUUAUAGCAACCUGACCAGUCUAGUGACCGUGACAACAUUACCCACAUCAAACUUGAUGAAAUCAACAAUCUUACCUGUCUCCGGAUCAAUUUUGAUUGUGUCAUUCACUCAUUUGCCUUUGGCCUGUUUAUUUCUGCAGGACCGUGCAGUGUGGCAGCAGGGAUGACGCCCGGGUGCGCGGAGCCCCGGUGGUGGGAUCGACGACAAGGGUGCGCGUGCGGGGCGGUCGCCCCGACCUGGUGCUGGUGGCUGCCUGUGCAUCACCGACACUUGGUGGCUCUACAUCCAGGUGGCUUUGCGUUUCGUGCGGCUGUACAAUUCUAUAAAUACAAAAGUCUCUCUACAUGUACAAUUUGAUCACUACACAAAAUAUCUCUACACUACCUGAUCACUACAAUACACCGAAGCGACAACACCUAUCGUUCUGGUAGGUGAAGUUGCAACCAAGUGUUAGGUGAAGAUAGAAUAAUUAGCUGAAAAAAAAUCAGUUUUACAACAGGCAUCAAAGGGGAAGAGCAAUAUCAUUUCAGUCAAUAGUAUAAACAAUAUGCUUUACAAUAAGUAUUUUAUAAUACAGGUAAUCUAAUAAAAUCAAGUUUGUGUUCAAAAAAUAUAUAUAGUCGACUUGUCCAUCCGUAUCUCCAUGUUAUCUUGUUAGUUGGCUCUGAACGUCCAAAAAGAAUGCCAAUUGGUGAGCUGCUGAGGUCAAUUAUAACAUGCUAGACCUAUUGGUACGUCAAUAAAAUCACUAAACUGCUUUGACUAGGUAAAAGGGGUUAAUUUGUCUGGUUUUAAGAGAUGUUAGAUGUGUGUUGUCUAGUAUUCGAGCUCAAGAUUUUUCUUACUCUUCCCUUCCUUCCUCCUUCAAACCUCUCAUCCGAGCCCAAUCUCUCGCAUGGAGCCCGACUCCUCUUAGACCUCCUUUGGAAUAUAGGAUACAUGUAGAAAUUUUGUAGGAUUUGAAUUCUAUAGGAAUUUUUCUCAUGUGUCCCUUUGGAACAAAGGAUUGGCUAACCUUUUAAUCCUUCAAAAUUCAUAUGGAAUGGUUUAAUCCAUAGGAAUUUUGGAGAAAAUCUAACAUGAGGUCUAACCUCUUGGAAACUCUUCUUUGUGUCUAUCUCUCUUCUCGUUUCUUUGUUUUUCCUACGUUGCAUCCAAACACACAAUUACAAAUUUUUCUACAUUAUCAAUUUUUAUAGGAUUGCAAAUAUCACGUAACUCCGUUCCUACGUUUUUCCUAUUCCCACGUUUGGAGAUUCCUUUUUAAAGAUGUCCUUAGCUUUCUAUUUUAGGCCUUGUUUAGUUCCCAAUUUAGGAGUGGCAAAAUUGGCAUUUUGCCAUAAAUGCGCAAUGUAGUAUUUUGUUUGUAUUUGUGAAUUAUUAUCCAAACAUUGGCUAAUUAGGCUCAAAAGAUUCGUCUCGCAAAGUACAAUAAAAAUGUGCAAUUAGUUUUUGAUUUUAUCUAUAUUUAGUACUCCAUACAUGUACCGCAAGUUUGAUGUGAUGGGGAAUCUUUUUUUACAUAGUGUUAAAGUUGGGAUUUUGGAGGGAAGUAAAGAAGGGCUUAUUUGUUAUAUGAUUGAUCGUAUGUGACAGUGACCGUGCAACACCUGCAACGUUGAGGUACGUGACAAGGCCACACAUGCAUAUGCCAGCUCAUUGGCUCGCCCUAAUCAGGCACUACCGUCCACAGAAGUCUGAACAACGGGCGUGAACCAGGCUGUACCCUCGUGGUCAUUGUAGAAUGCACAUGGAAAGCCGUGAUGAUAUUAUUUUCUAUUAAAGCCGUAAUGAUCAGGGCUUUCGAUGAUAUUACUCAAAUUUAAAGCCGUAAUGAUGCUGUCGACGAUACUACCGUCCACAGAAGUGGCGCCGGAAGUCCUCGCACGCUGACAACGCAACACUGUUGUUAGUACUGCCAUGGGACCUACUAGUGACAAGGCAGCACAUGCAUGUAGACCCGCUGUUGUUGACGGCUCUCCCUCAGCAAGGACGCUGGGAGCAAUAAUGAGGCCACAUCUGCUUCAUCAUGAUCCUUCGCCGAUUAUUGUUUCAGUCCUUUUGCUUCGCUGUACCUAUAGACCAGUAAUGCUGGACUGAAUCAUGAUUUGAGACCUAAUCCCUUCGUUAAUCUUCUGUAAAGCAGCACAUGUGUAAAGCCUACACGACGAUGUUUUUUCCCCCUCCUGUUUCGCUUUCGCCAUUUGACGAGAUCAACGAAAUUCAUCCGCAACAUCCAUGCAUGAUGAUGAAAUUUGGAGCCUUCUUGACAUGACUUCACCUCCAACUCCCAACUUUGGCACUAUGCAAAAAGAAGAUUCCUCAUCACAUCAAACUUGCGAUACAUGCAUGGAGUACUAAAUGUAGAUGAAAUUAAAAACUAAUUGCACAGUUUUGUUACUUUGCGAGACGAAUCUAUUGAGCCUAAUUAGUCAAUGUUUGACAAUAAUUCAUAAAUACAAACGAAACGCUACAGUAUGCUACAGUGCCAGCACAGUAAUUUAGCACCUCCCAAUUUGGCCAACUAAACAAGGAUUGUGACUCGUGCAGCUGGUACAGAGAGUGACUGAUUCCUGCAUUCUAUUAUUGCCUCUUGAAUAUUCCGUGGCUGUUCAACUGUGUUGUGACGGUGAACAUGAAAAUUGCUUUUUAUAUUUAUGUAUUUUCGUUUGCAAUUUGGGCUUUAUUGAGCUUUUCUAUUUGUUAUGUCCUCAAACUUAAAAUCUUUUUUUUUCUAACAGCGCACAUGAUAUAUCAAUGAUCUUACUGUCUUGCUUCGGAUUAGCAACCUGGUAAUCAUGAAUUAAUUAGACUUAAUAGAUUCGUCUCGCGAAUUAAUUAGCUGCAAUUGGCUUUGUAAUUAGUCUAAAUGUUUAAUACUCCUAAUUAGUAUCUAAACAUUCGAUGUGAUAGGAGCUAAAUUUUAGCUCGAGGAACCGAGCAAAUCCUGCAAUUUUGAAAAGGUGAGGCACUAGUUAAAUUUUAACACGUUAAUAAUUUUAUAAAAUAAAUUCAAGAGACCUUGUCGACGAAAUAAAAGUGGUAGGUACACCGUACACAUCAUUAUUGUCAAGUCAUCGGGCCCAUUUGUUUCGUUCACCAAGAGUCCAAUCGCUAUAAUUGGAGAGGAAGAAAUGGAAGAAUGUGACUCGACCAAUAGAUAAAUGGUAUCGCUUUUUCCCUGUGAGCGCAACCCAGGAAAUGCAAAAGGCUGCUCCAGAAUGCAGAACAUUUAUAUGGUCUUUGAACACACAUGGCUACCUGAACACUGUGCACCGGUAAACACGUUUGUUCAGUGAUCAAUCCAUCAUUAGCAUAACUAAACCAGGAUGUGACUAUUAAGUAGGAGUAUUACCUUAAGAUGUGAACAGAAACACUGCAGCUUCACAAGCACAGCCAACAGCAUCCACACCUGUCGUCAUCAGCUUAUAAAAAUAGCUUGGACUUGUCUAUCAUCUUCUGAUCCUUUGCUUAUUUUAUGGCUCCUGGUGUGAGCUGAGCACAAGUCUUCCAUGCUAGUCUUCUCCUUCUGCCAUUGCAAGUCUUGCAGAAACAUAUCCUCUUCUCCAUCUUCUCUUCCCGUACGCCGCCGGCCCCUCCGCUGCGACCGCUACUGCCCCGCCUCUGCUACUGCUGCUCUGUCAGCCUAGGCACCCAAGAAGGUCAGUGCUUGGCGGUUGUCUCCAUUUACCUCCAAAGCGCUUCCGCAGACCAUCCUCUUCUCCACUCCAAAGUGUCUUCUCAUUUCUCAGCGUGCGUUCUCGUGAGCUCUGACUGCUCCAAUGGCCGAGCUUGUGGGCAGCAUGGUGGUCGGGCCACUGCUGUCUCUGGUGAAGGAGAAGGCGUCCAGCUACCUCCUGGACCAGUACAAGGUCAUGGAGGGCAUGGAGGAGCAGCACAAGAAGCUCAAGGUCAUGCUGCCGGCCAUCCUGGAAAGGAUCACUGACGCAGAGAAGCAGGCAACCUCCAGAGAAGCAAUCAGACCCUGGCUUCAGGAGCUUAAGGUGGCGGCGUACGAGGCCAUCCAAGUCUUCGAUGAAUUCAACUAUGAGGCCCUCCGUCGUCAAGCCAAGAAAGAGGGGCGCUACAUCAAGCUCGGCAUGGAUGCAGUAAAACUCUUUCCCACUCACAACCGCAUCAUGUUCCAUUACAGGAUGGGCAACAAGCUUUGCAAGAUUGUGCGUGAUAUUGAUGCCCUUGUCAAGCAUAUGCACGACUUUGGGUUCGACAAACAGCCACAAGCGCAGGUUCAGAUAAAUUAUCUGCGUGAGAAUGACUCCACCAUGGUUGAUCCAGAGAUUGUCAGCAGAUCCAGAGAUGAAGAGAAGCAAAAGAUUGUUAGAAUGUUGGUCAAAGAACAAGCUAACAAUAAGGAUCCAAUGGUCGUUCCCAUUGUGGGGAUGGGUGGGUUGGGCAAGACCACCCUAGCUCAGCUCAUCUUUAAUGACCCUGAAGUGAAGAAGCAUUUCCACCAACUAAUGAAGUGGGUCUGCGUGUCAGAUGAUUUCGAUGUUUGUAACCUUGCCAACAAGAUCUGCAACGCUUCUGAGAGCAACCUGGAGAAUGCCUUGCAGAAGCUUCAGAGAGAACUCGCUGGAAAGAGGUACUUUUAGAAUUUAAUUUGAUGUUGAUUCACUCAUCUCAAACACGCACACUGGUUUUUUUUCCUCACACACGCUCAAAAUAUGUGCAUUACCCUUGAGAAUAACACGUAAUUGAAAGGAUAAGUAAAGCACAUGCAAACUACAUACACAAAAUUCAACUUCAAACUUAGAUCCGCAUACACUUUUAAUUGCUAGUGCUAGUGAACUUCGUACACUUGAAGAAACUAUGAAAAAUGUACACGCACACAUCAUGUCAAGUCGUACACAGAAGGCAACAUCCAACAUUUUUUUUAAUUAAGGAAAAACAUCCGAUCUUGAACAUUCACACGUGAAUAGAAAAUUUUAGGAUCAUUUGAUCAAAAAUUUUAAGUGAAUAGAUCUUCAAAAGGUUAGCAGGAAAAAAACAUUUCAUCUUUUUCUGCUCCCUCAACUCAUGCUAAGGAGCUGCAAAAGCUAACGACGCCUCUUGUUUUGAGGCCCCAGCAUUGAAAUCAAGAAGACAACAACGCCUCACCACUGGCAAGUUGCCCUCUAGAUAUGCACGGAACUUGCACAUCUCACAUACCAUUUACGCUUCCUCUGGUGGCAUUCACAUAACUUAAGAAAAAGACGUACACAAAUAGAAACGCACUAAUGACAUGAUUAUUUGUAACAGGUAUCUUCUUGUAUUGGACGACGUCUGGAAUAAGGAUGAUAACAAGUGGAACAAGCUGAAUGCUUGUCUUAAACAUGGUGAUGUUGGUAGCGCCAUACUAACGACAACCCGUGAUAAAGAAAUAGCUCAACUCAUGGGUAUAGAUAAAGAACAUGGCAUUGCACGUUUGGACAAUAAAUUCAUCAAGGAAAUUAUUGAGGCUAAAGCAUUCAUUUCGCAAGAGAGAAAACCAGCUGAUUUAGCUGGCUUGGUUGAUGACGUUGUUGAGAGAUGUGCAGGGUCUCCAUUGGCAGCGAAGGCACUAGGAUCUGUACUACGUGGCAAGACAACGGAAGAAUGGAAGGCUGUGCUUAGCAAAAGCAUCGCCCAUAACAAGGACGAUCAAAUCCUGCCUAUUCUCAAGCUCAGUUACGAUGACCUGCCAUCACACAUGAAGCAGUGCUUCGCUUUCUGUGCUGUGUUUCCCAAGGACCAUGAGAUUGACGUGGAAAUGCUGAUCCAACUAUGGAUGGCAAAUGACUUUAUUCCCGAACAAAAAGAUGCUCAUCAUGAAACAAUUGGUAAACAGAUUUUCAGUGAGCUGGUCUCAAAGUCAUUCUUUCAAGAUGUGAAGCAAGUCAAAGGGGAAAGAUAUGAUUCCGUGUAUUGGUAUUUCUCUACAAGUACAUGUAAAAUCCAUGAUCUUAUGCACGAUGUGGCACUUUCUGUCAUGGGCAAAGAAGUUGCUACCAUAACUGAGAAGCCAAAGCAGAGUGAUGAGUUUCUUCAGAACACUUGUCGUCAUAUAUUGUUAUCAUGUGAGAAGCCAGAGGCCGUUUUGAAUGAUUCUCUGAAUAUAAGGUCUCCAGCUAUGCAAACACUACUAUGUGGUCAGCGCAUAGGAAAUUCCCUGCAGCAUCUCGCAAAAUACAGCUCUCUGCGUGCAUUGGGACUUUGGCAGGAUAAGAGCACAAUCCUACUGAAACCAAAGCAGCUACAUCUCUUGAGGUAUCUUGAUAUCUCGGGUAGUGAUAUAGUGGCACUUCCGGAAGAUAUCAGCAUUUUGUACAAUCUGCAAACGCUGAAUGUUGCGCACUGUCGCAAACUUGGCCGGCUUCCAAAGGGAAUAAAGUACAUGACUGCCCUCCGUCACCUCUACACUCACGGAUGUAAGGAGUUGAAGCGCAUGCCACCAGAGGUUGGACAUCUCACUUCCCUGCAAACACUUACAAAUUUCGUAGUGGGUGCAGGCCCUGAUUGCAGUAGUAUUGCAGAGCUGCAGCAUUUAAACAACCUUGGUGGUCCACUACUGCUUAGUCAACUCGAAAAUGUGACAAAAGCAGCAGAUGCAAAACAGGCCAAUCUUGGAAAUAAAAAGGAGCUCAGGGCAUUGUCAUUAACGUGGACACGUAGUGAGGGGGAGAAACAACAUUGUCAUAAGGUGCUGGAGGGUCUGGAAGCUCCUCCUGGACUAGAGGCUCUGAGGUUAAAGUAUUACCAAGGAACCAGUUUCCCAACAUGGGUGGGUACGCGGCCAAAAAUGGUGGAGCUUCAUCUUUCUGACUGUAACAAGUCCAAUAAGCUUCCUCCACUUGAGAGUGUACCAGCUCUACAAGUUCUUCGUCUGGAAAGAUUGAAAAAGCUGGAAAGCUUGUGCAGUGGUGGUACAUUCUUUCACUUUCCUAAUCUGAAGGAGCUUACGCUGGAAGACCUGCCGGAAUUUGAUAGAUGGUGUGAAGUAAACUGGGUCCAAGGAGAACAGAUAAUGUUUCCUCAACUUGAGAAAUUGUUUAUUACAAAUUGUGGAAAGGUUACAGCAUUACCAGGGCCAGCACUUCUCGGAGGAUCGUGCUGUGGAGAUUACAAGGAGCAAGACGAGAGGAAGCUUUG